CUAAUUUAUCAAUUUGUUCUUUCAUGGACUGUGCUUUUGGUGUUGUAUCUAAGAAAUCUUUGCCCAACCUAGGGCACAAAGGCUUCAGUUCCUGAAUUUAAGAAACUGAAAAAGUAACCAUCAUAAAGAUAAUUCAUCUAUUUAAUGCUACCUAUACCGUGGCUCAAAGGCAAGUUUUGCUUUCCUAUGAAAUCCUUCUGUGACCAACAUGAAGAUAUGUGAUCCACAAGGGUGGGAGUUGCUUGAAUAUAAAACUACCACCUACCUUUUAAUGGCUGAAGACAGUUCUGUAUGUCAGUAUGGGAUGAUCUCCAAAACAUAUUAUUAAUUUCUAAAAACAAGGAGCACAGCAUUGUGAAUAGAAUACCCCAUUUGUAGAAGAGCAGGGGAGCUGCCUACUUGCUUCUAUGCAUAAAAUAUUUCUGGAAGGGACAAAAGAAGCUAGAACCAGUGGUGGCCCCUGAGAGGGAACGUAUAACUAAGGGACUGGAGAUGGAGUUCAGUCUUUGCCUCUUGGUACCUUAGAAUUUACUUUGUAGUGUGUGUAUCACCUAGUCACAAACACAACUCACAGAGACUCAUCUGUAAUCAGAAACGUGACUCUGGGUGAUGCUCUCAGCUCCCAGGUCAGCACACCCCUUUCUUCUGUCCAGAGAACCCCUGGCCCAGGGAAGGAUGUUCAGGAUGUCAAAGCAAAAGGUUUAUCAAAAAGUUGUCUUAUUGAGAAAUGAAAAUGCCAAGACUUGUACCCAAGCGUUUAUAGCAGCUUUAUUCUAGUCCCAAACUGGAAAUAACCCAAACGUCCUCAACAUUAAUAAAUGGACAAACUGUAGUAUAGCCACUUGCAGAAUACUGCACUGCAAUCAAAUGGCUGCUAUGCAGCAAGGAUGGCUCUCAACAGAUGCUAGGCUGGAUUAAACAAGCCAGACAUAAAAAAGUGCAUUUAAUCUCUUUCACGUGGAAUUCUAGAAUGGCAAAGCUACUCCACUGCACUUUUUAAAUCAUUGGAGUAAUAAGGAGUCUAAGGGGGGGUCAUUAUACUAUUCUCUCUACUUGUGUGAGUUUUACAUGAAUUUUUUUCAUAAUGAAAAAUAUUAAAGCUCUAAGAACAAUCAUCCAGCUGAGCUUGAAGGCAAAGGCCGAGGCUGUGUGUGCUCAGAGGCUGCCUCCUCCAGGCAGGAGCAGCAGUGCGGUGCCCUUUUACUGCAGGCUUGGGUUCCUGCCACCAGUUGCCUCUUGACCAGCCUGGGAACUUAGUUACAUUUUCUAGAAAGAUAAAUCUUCCUUAAUGACUGUUCCCCAUUUUACAGGAUUCUCUAAACAGCCAGUGUCAUUCCAACAUCAAGGCAUUGCCUAUGUGACAUCACAUAUAAGUGAAGGGUGGUAGACUAUGAAUACCUUAUGUUUUCCAGACUUUGGGUCAUUUAUGAUUUUCAAAGCAUUUUAAGAGGCCACAGGCAGCACUGCUGUGGAUGGUGCCUGGUAUCCCAAAGGGAGGAGGCUGAAGCCCUGCUCAUGCCAAGUCUCUCUGUUUCCUCCCUUUGACCUGUGCAUAUCCUUGACCUUGUACCCAAAAGGUCUGAGCCUCUUCUUAUAAGCACAUGACAGCUCCAGGAGCUGGCCUGGCCACUGAGGCACAAGCACUUGCUCAUCUGCACCUAGGUGUCUACUCAAGCGUUUCUUAAUGCCUUGGAAAGUGUAAUUUGAAGAGACAAGACAGCGCCCGUUCUUGGCUGACAACAAACACAAAUGGUAACUGUAGACAGAAGAAUCCAUUCACAAGUGGAGGUGUUCUCUUCCUGGCCUAAUUGCUGGCACUUUUAUCCUCUAAGACCUUAUCCGCCUAUUUCUGUUCUUCAAAAAGUGGCCUCACGGUUCUGGCUCGGGUGGAGAGCUGAGGGAGGGGAGAGCACGGCGGAUGCGGGGAAGAGCAGCUAAACAAGCGUAGGGGACCAGGUGGAUCAUGAGUACUUUCUCCAGGUCUCCCAACACCAGACUUUAGAGCUGAAGUUUCAUCCUGGCGAGUUACGCGGGUGUGUCCCUGCCCGGAGUGUUCCGGUUCAGCACAUUGGACUCGCACGUCGCAUGGCCGCUGCACAGGGUGACGCUGCCAACUUCGGGCCUGUGCCUGUGCCGCCCUUCCCACCUGAGGACACCAAAGUAAUUCUCAAGCGUGUGGCAUCUCCCCAAACGGUACACGUUUAACUGGGGGUAAAGUUCUGGGAGUGCACAGCCGCUUCCUCUCACAACCACGCCUGGGGCAGAGGUCCCAGUCAGGCCACCGCGAUCGAUCCGGAUGGGUCCGGCAGCCUCCCUGAGCAGGCGCACCAAGGACUCAGGAGAGCUCACAACAGGGAGUUUCCCUUGCGCGAUGGUGUGGCACGUGACUGGGAGUUGGCCAAUCAGGAGCGCUGGAACCACCGGCCUCUGGCCGAGCAUGCGCAUAGCACGUGACCAGAUUGGCCUUGCAGCCAGACAUACGUAGAAGUGAUGGCAGCGCUGGUUAGCUGGGAAACCAUGUGUGCUCCCUGAAGCGGCCUGGAAGGUCACUUAGGGCGCUUGGGGCUGUGGCCCCCACCAAGGGCACCAGGCCUGGCCGUGUCAAGUACUAAGGAAACUAGGUUUGCAGUGAGCAACCUGGACUGAUGCCAGAGCCAGUCUGAAGACAGAUGAACGUGCAACUGGGACAAGGAGAAGAGUGUGCCUUCACUCUGUCCUCACACAUUGACCGAGCUUCUCCUGCUAAAGUGCUCCAUGUGGCCUGCCACCUUCCCUGGGGGCGUCCGCCUCGGCCAUCCAGCCUCCUUUCCCUCCAGGCUGCUGCCCAGUGGUCAGCUGGGGACGUCACUCCACAGCCCUCGAGCCGCUGCGCAGCUGGCCCCUGCUGUCUCCUUCAUCUGCUGAGCCACGUUACAGCAAGUCCUCUGCGGGGUCGUCUUACUGACCUAAAAGUGCCUUUAAUGUUGUCCUUAUAACUGGGCAUCAAUUUCCAGAUCCAGAGUUUUCCUUCAGAAUGUUAAAGGCGUAGAUCUGUAGUUUGGGCGUCCCGACUCUUGAAUCCAGAUGCUUUCAGGAUCUUGUUUCUAAUCCCUGAUAUUUUGAAAUUUCCGAAGAGGGCACCUAGACGGUGUCGUUUUCUCCAUUCACCCUGCUCCAUGCUCCAUGGGGACUUUUACCUUCCACCGGUUUUCUUCCUUUUUCCCUGAGAGCUUCCUCUCUGAUCUCUCCAUUGGGUUUCUGACGCUUCUCUUCUCCGUCUGUUUCUGUUGUUAGACACCUCGGACACGUCCUCUUGUCUCACCAUUUCUUCCCGUUUUCCCCUCUCUCCUCCUUUCCAUCAUUUAUCCUAUGUCCAAGGAGAGCUAAUUGCUAUUUCCUAGCUAAUUGCUAUUUCCUUCUACUGACCUUUCUAUUUCUUUUAUUUCCUUAAGUCCCUUUUUCUUUAAAUCAAUUUUAUUGAGAUUAAUUGACAUACAAUACAAUGAAAUGGUUCUGUUUUAAGGGUGUAUUUUGAGGUGUUGGGCAAGUACAUGCAGUUAUGUGAUCACCACCACAGUGAGGCAUUUCUGUCACCUCCAGAAGUUUUUCCAGCCCCUUGUGAGUCGGACCCCAGCCCAGUCCUGGCCCUGGGCCGCCCAACCUGCCUGCUGUCACAGCAGAGGGUCGUGUAAUGGAGUCACACACACCGUGCGAUCUUCCGUGUCCCCUUUUGUCCUACAUGCAAUGGUUGGGACGCACCUGUGUCGUUGCGUGUGUUAGCAGCCCCUUCCGUGUCUUUGCAGAGCCGGAGACUAUUGCACGGAUUCUCCUCAACCUCCCCGUGGCCAGCUCAGGGGCGCUUGGGUUUCCUAUUUUGAGUAAUGCUGCUCUGAACAUCCAUAUGCCAGUCAUUGUGUGGAUACAUGUUUUUGUGUCACUUGGGUAGGUACCAAGGAGCGGAACUGCUGGAUCGUGUAGUAAAUAUGUAUUAACUACAUAAUAAACUCCUCAUCUGUCUUCCAAAGGAGCUGCACCGCUUGACGUUCCCGCCGGAAACAGAGGCGCAUUCCUGCCGCUCUGGUCUGUCCCCUCACUUGGCGUGAGAUGUUAGCCAUGCUACUGUGUGUGUAGUGGGUCUCCUUGUACUUUCAGCUGCGUCUCCCUGACGCCUGGUGCUGUAGUGCUUUUCACAUGCUUAUUAGUUAUCCAUAGGUCUGUGAUGAAAUGUCUGUUCAGGUCACUUGCCCAUUUUUGAAUGGUAUUGUCCUCUCACUGAGUUGUAAGAGUUCUUUGUAUAUUCUAGAUACAAGUUGCCUAAGAUACAAGUACUGAGAAUAUAAUCU